AGAGUUUGAUCCUGGCUCAGAUUGAACGCUGGCGGCAUGCCUAACACAUGCAAGUCGAACGGAAACGAUGGGAGCUUGCUCCCAGGCGUCGAGUGGCGGACGGGUGAGUAAUACUUAGGAAUCUACCCAGUAGCGGGGGACAACUCGAGGAAACUCGAGCUAAUACCGCAUACGCCCUACGGGGGAAAGCAGGGGAUCUUCGGACCUUGCACUAUUGGAUGAGCCUAAGUCGGAUUAGCUUGUUGGUGAGGUAAAGGCUCACCAAGGCGACGAUCCGUAGCUGGUCUGAGAGGACGAUCAGCCACACUGGGACUGAGACACGGCCCAGACUCCUACGGGAGGCAGCAGUGGGGAAUAUUGGACAAUGGGGGCAACCCUGAUCCAGCAAUGCCGCGUGUGUGAAGAAGGCCUGCGGGUUGUAAAGCACUUUCAGUAGAGAAGAAAAGCCCACGGCUAAUACCCGUGAGUCUUGACGUUACCUACAGAAGAAGCUCCGGCUAACUCCGUGCCAGCAGCCGCGGUAAUACGGAGGGAGCGAGCGUUAAUCGGAAUUACUGGGCGUAAAGCGCGCGUAGGCGGCUUUGUAAGUCGGAUGUGAAAGCCCUGGGCUCACCCUGGGAAUGGCAUUCGAUACUGCAGAGCUAGAGUAUGGUAGAGGGAAGUGGAAUUUCCGGUGUAGCGGUGAAAUGCGUAGAUAUC
rnacentral:rRNA from 1 species